rnacentral:rRNA from 1 species
UACGAAGGGGGCUAGCGUUGUUCGGAAUCACUGGGCGUAAAGGGCGCGUAGGCGGCUUGAUAAGUCGGGGGUGAAAGCCUAGUGGCUCAACCACAGAAUUGCCUUCGAUAACUGUCUGGCUUGAGACCGGAAGAGGUAAGUGGAACUGCGAGUGUAGAGGUGAAAUUCGUAGAUAUUCGCAAGAACACCAGUGGCGAAGGCGGCUUACUGGUCCGGUUCUGACGCUGAGGCGCGAAAGCGUGGGGAGCAAACAGG